GACGAACGCUGGCGGCGUGCUUAACACAUGCAAGUCGAACGGAAAGGCCCUGCUUUUGUGGGGUGCUCGAGUGGCGAACGGGUGAGUAACACGUGAGUAACCUGCCCUUGACUUUGGGAUAACUUCAGGAAACUGGGGCUAAUACCGGAUAGGAGCUUCUGCUUCAUGGUGGGGGUUGGAAAGUUUCGGCGGUUGGGGAUGGACUCGCGGCUUAUCAGCUUGUUGGUGGGGUAGUGGCUUACCAAGGCUUUGACGGGUAGCCGGCCUGAGAGGGUGACCGGCCACAUUGGGACUGAGAUACGGCCCAGACUCCUACGGGAGGCAGCAGUGGGGAAUAUUGCACAAUGGGCGGAAGCCUGAUGCAGCAACGCCGCGUGCGGGAUGACGGCCUUCGGGUUGUAAACCGCUUUCGCCUGUGACGAAGCGUGAGUGACGGUAAUGGGUAAAGAAGCACCGGCUAACUACGUG
rnacentral:rRNA from 1 species